GCGUCCGUAGCUCAAUGGAUAGAGCAGGAGCUUCGCAGGCCCAGGGUUGCCGGUUCGAAUCCGGCCGGGCGCACCA
rnacentral:tRNA from 1 species